rnacentral:rRNA from 1 species
GAUGAACGCUGGCGGCGUGCCUAAUACAUGCAAGUCGAGCGAACGGACGAGAAGCUUGCUUUUCUGAUGUUAGCGGCGGACGGGUGAGUAACACGUGGAUAACCUACCUAUAAGACUGGGAUAACUUCGGGAAACCGGCGCUAAUACCGGAUAAUAUUUUGAACCGCAUGGUUCAAAAGUGAAAGACGGUCUUGCUGUCACUUAUAGAUGGAUCCGCGCUGCAUUAGCUAGUUGGUAAGGUAACGGCUUACCAAGGCAACGAUGCAUAGCCGACCUGAGAGGGUGAUCGGCCACACUGGAGCUGAGACACGGUCCAGACUCCUACGGGAGGCAGCAGUAGGGAAUCUUCCGCAAUGGGCGAAAGCCUGACGGAGCAACGCCGCGUGAGUGAUGAAGGUCUUCGGAUCGUAAAACUCUGUUAUUAGGGAAGAACAUAUGUGUAAGUAACUGUGCACAUCUUGACGGUACCUAAUCAGAAAGCCACGGCUAACUACGUG